rnacentral:rRNA from 1 species
CCCUUAGAUGUCCUGGGCCGCACGCGCGUUACACUGAUGCAUUCAACGAGCUUAUAACCUUGGCCGAGAGGCCUGGGCAAUCUUGUUAACGUGCAUCGUGAUAGGGAUAGAUUAUUGAAAUUAUUAAUCUUGAACGAGGAAUCCCUAGUAAACACAGAUCAUCAAUCUGCAUUGAUUACGUCCCUGCCCUUUGUACACACCGCCCGUCGCACCUACCGAUUGGAUGGUCCGGUGAAGCCUCGGGAUUGUGGUUCUUGCCGCUUUAUUGUGGCGUGACCGCGAGAACUUGUCUAAACCUUAUCAUCUAGAGGAAGGUGAAGUCGUAACA